rnacentral:rRNA from 1 species
AUGUCCGGCGAGCUCUCCACGCUCUCGUCGCCCUCGUUCGCCGCCUCGCCCUCCCCGGCCGACGACGCGCGGUCAGCAGGAGAGUCGACCCCGCUGCAGGUCGAGGCCGAGGCCGGCAGCAGGUCCGGCGGCAGUGGCAGCACCGGCGUGAAGCUCCGGCGGCGGUGGCAGCGGCGGCGGCAGCAGCUGGGGCAGUGGCAGUGGCGCGUCGGGGACACGUGGGCGCUGGACCCGCGCGCGCGGUGGGUGCGGGAGUGGAACCGCGCCUACCUGCUGGCCUGCGCGGCGGGGCUCAUGGUGGACCCUCUCUUCCUGUACGCCGUGUCGGUGAGCGGCCCGCUCAUGUGCGUCUUCCUCGACGGCUGGCUCGCCGCCGCGGUCACCGCGCUGCGCUGCAUGGUGGACGCCCUGCACGCGUGGAACUUCCUCACGCAGCUCCGCGUCGCGCGCGCCGCGGCCACGGCGGUUGCGCGGGGCCGGCGAGGGAUCGUGGACGAGGAGCAGGCCGACGUCGACGCCGCGGCCGCGCGAAGCCUGCCGGCGUACGCGAGGUCCAGGAAAGGAAUGGCGCUCGACUUCUUCGUCAUCCUCCCCGUGAUGCAGGUGGUGGUUUGGGUGGCGGCGCCGGCGAUGAUCCGCGCGGGGUCGACGACGGCAGUGAUGACGGUGCUGCUGGUGGCGUUCCUGCUGGAGUACCUGCCCAAGAUCUACCACUCCGUCUCCUUCCUCCGGCGGACGCAGGACCAGUCGGGCCACAUCUUCGGCACCAUCUGGUGGGGCAUCGUGCUCAACCUCAUGGCCUACUUCGUCGCCGCCCACGCGGUGGGCGCGUGCUGGUACCUGCUCGGGGUGCAGAGGGCCACCAAGUGCCUCAAGGAGCAGUGCUCCAUCUCCGGGCCGCCGGGGUGCGCGUCGGGGCCGCUGGCGUGCCCCGCCCCUCUCUACUACGGUGGCGCCGGCGCCGCGGCGUCCGUCGCCGGCGACAGGCUCGCGUGGGCCACGGACGCCACGGCCAGGAGCGUGUGCCUCGCCAGCGGCGACAAGUACCAGUUCGGCGCCUACAAGUGGACGGUGAUGCUGGUGGCCAACACGAGCCGGCUGGAGAAGAUGCUGCUCCCCAUCUUCUGGGGCCUCAUGACGCUGAGCACGUUCGGGAACCUGGAGAGCACGACUGAGUGGCUGGAGAUCGUGUUCAACAUCGUGACCAUCACUGGGGGGCUCAUCCUGGUCACCAUGCUCAUCGGCAACAUCAAGGUGUUCCUGAACGCGACCACGUCCAAGAAGCAGGCCAUGCACACGCGGCUGCGGAGCCUGGAGUGGUGGAUGAAGCGCAAGGAGCUGCCGCAGAGCUACCGGCACCGGGUGCGGCAGUUCGAGCGGCAGCGGUGGGCGGCCACCCGCGGCGUGGACGAGUGCCAGAUCGUGCGCGACCUCCCCGAGGCCCUCCGCCGCGACAUCAAGUACCACCUCUGCCUCGACCUCGUCCGCCAGGUGCCCCUCUUCCAGCACAUGGACGACCUCGUCCUCGAGAACAUGUGCGACCGCGUCCGCUCCCUCAUCUACCCCAAGGGCGAGACCAUCGUGCGGGAGGGUGACCCGGUGCAGCGGAUGGUGUUCAUCGUGCGGGGGCACCUGGAGUGCAGGCAGGAGCUGCGGAACGGGGCGACGAGCUGCUGCAUGCUGGGGCCGGGCAACUUCACGGGGGACGAGCUGCUGUCGUGGUGCCUGCGGCGGCCGUUCGUGGGGCGGCUGCCGGCGUCGUCGGCGACGCUGGUGACGCUGGAGAGCACGGAGGUGUUCGGGCUGGAGGCGGCGGACGUCAAGUACGUGACGCAGCACUUCCGCUACACCUUCACCAACGAGCGGGUGCGGCGGAGCGCGCGCUACUACUCGCCCAGCUGGCGCACCUGGGCCGCCGUCGCCGUGCAGCUGGCGUGGCGCCGCUACAAGCACCGCAAGACGCUCGAGUCGCUCUCCUUCAUCCGCCCGCGCCGCCCGCUGUCGCGCUGCUCGUCGCUCGGCGAGGAGAAGCUCCGGCUCUACACCGCCAUCCUCGCCUCGCCCAAGCCCAACCAGGACGACGACUUCUCCUUCUAG